UUUAAGUGUCCCAUGGCUUUAUAGAGAGUGGAUCAUACUCCUCAAACCAUGAGUGUAAAACAAGAUAGUACAUGUAAAAGCACCAUGGAGCUUCAGCUUUAUCAUUGCUGUGAGAUUUACAGCGCUUCCUUCCAUCGUCAGCUUGCUAAUAGGCAGUGGUUGAACUCCCUGGAGUCUCAGCUAGGAAAUAUGAGCAGUAUGUAAUUGCUAUGGCUGGAAUCGCAUUCCACUUCAGAAGCUUCUUAACAGCAUUCUCAGAUGUGUGAAUAUACAUUAGUGACCCAAGGGGAUUACUCCCUGGCACCAAGUUUACCUUUAUGAGGGGCCUGGAUGAUGAGACCUUCCCUCCCAUAAGCAGAAGUCUCUGGAAAGCCCAGCUCUCAAGUAGACAGCUACCUUGCCUGUAUGUCCACAGCAUCAGUGACUGCCAAGAUGUCCAAAGUUUCCUGAAAGGUGAAGAAAAUGCUUGAUUCUGGAGCACC